AUUGAACGCUGGCGGCAUGCCUUACGCAUGCAAGUCGAACGGCAGCACGGGAGCAAUCCUGGUGGCGAGUGGCGAACGGGUGAGUAAUAUAUCGGAACGUGCCCAGUCGUGGGGGAUAACGUAGCGAAAGCUACGCUAAUACCGCAUACGAUCUACGGAUGAAAGCGGGGGAUCGCAAGACCUCGCGCGAUUGGAGCGGCCGAUAUCAGAUUAGCUAGUUGGUGGGGUAAAAGCUCACCAAGGCGACGAUCUGUAGCUGGUCUGAGAGGACGACCAGCCACACUGGAACUGAGACACGGUCCAGACUCCUACGGGAGGCAGCAGUGGGGAAUUUUGGACAAUGGGCGCAAGCCUGAUCCAGCAAUGCCGCGUGCAGGAUGAAGGCCUUCGGGUUGUAAACUGCUUUUGUACGGAACGAAACGGUGAGCUCUAAUAAAGCUUGCUAAUGACGGUACCGUAAGAAUAAGCACCGGCUAACUACGUACCACG
rnacentral:rRNA from 1 species